UACAGAGGGUGCGAGCGUUAAUCGGAAUUACUGGGCGUAAAGGGUGCGUAGGUGGUUUGAUAAGUUAGGUGUGAAAGUCCUGGGCUUAACCUGGGGGAUUGCGCUUAAGACUGUCGAGCUAGAGUACUGUAGAGGAAGGUGGAAAUUUCCGGUGUAGCAGUGAAAUGCGUAGAUAUCGGAAGGAACAUCAGUGGCGAAGGCGACCUUCUGGACAGAUACUGACACUGAGGCACGAAAGCGUGGGGAGCAAACAGG
rnacentral:rRNA from 1 species